GCAUACGAGAUCAUGCCUAGUCUCGUGGGCUCGGAGAUGUGUAUAAGAGACAGGGGUAGGGGAGCUUCCCAUACGGGUUGAAGCAUGACCGUAAGGACAUGUGGACAGUAUGGGAGUGAGAAUGUUGGCAUGAGUAGCGAGAUGUGGGUGAGAAUCCCACAGGCCGUAAACCCAAGGUUUCCAGGGGAAGGUUCGUCCGCCCUGGGUUAGUCGGGACCUAAGCUGAGGCCGAAAGGCGUAGGUGAUGGACAACAGGUUGAUAUUCCUGUACUACCGAUAACCGUUUGAGAGAAGGGAUGACACAGUAGGAUAAGCUAAGCACACUGUUGGUUAUGUGUGCCCAAGCAUUGAGGCAGUCAAAGUAGGCAAAUCCGCUUUGAUAAUGCUGGGAUGUGAUGGGGAGCGAAAUUUAGUAGCGAAGUAGCUGAUUUCACACUGUCAAGAAAAGUCUCUAUCGAGGUUAAAGGUACCCGUACCGCAAACCGACACAGGUGGGUGAGGAGAGUAUCCUAAGGCCAGCGAGAGAACUGUUGUUAAGGAACUCGGCAAAAUGACCCCGUAACUUAGGGAUAAGGGGUGCCACCAUCAGGUGGCCGCAGAGAAUAGGCCCAAGCGACUGUUUACCAAAAACAUAGGUUUCUGCUAAGUCGCAAGACGAUGUAUAGGAGCUGACGCCUGCCCGGUGCUGGAAGGUUAAGGGGAUCUGUUAGAGCAAUCGAAGCAGUGAACUUAAGCCCCAGUAAACGGCGGCCGUAACUAUAACGGUCCUAAGGUAGCGAAAUUCCUUGUCGGGUAAGUUCCGACCCGCACGAAAGGCGUAACGAUUUGGGCACUGUCUCAACAACAGACUCGGUGAAAUUGUAAUUCCGGUGAAGAUGCCGGAUACCUGCGACAGGACGGAAAGACCCCAUGGAGCUUUACUGUAGCUUGACAUUGGGUCUUGGUACUACAUGUACAGGAUAGGUGGGAGGCUUUGAAACCAGGACGCCAGUUUUGGCGGAGCCAUCCUUGGGAUACCACCCUUGUAGUACUGGGACUCUAACCAUAGGCCAUGAAUCUGGUCUUGGGACACUGUCAGGUGGGCAGUUUGACUGGGGCGGUCGCCUCCCAAAAGGUAACGGAGGCGCUCAAAGGUUCUCUCAGUACGGUCGGAAAUCGUACGUAGAGUGUAAAGGCAAAAGAGAGCUUGAUUGCAAGACAUACAGGUCGAGCAAGGAUGAAAAUCGGACUUAGUGAUCCGGUGGUUCUGCGUGGAAGGGCCAUCGCUCAACGGAUAAAAGCUACCCUGGGGAUAACAGGCUUAUCUCCCCCAAGAGUCCACAUCGACGGGGAGGUUUGGCACCUCGAUGUCGGCUCAUCACAUCCUGGGGCUGUAGUAGGUCCCAAGGGUUGGGCUGUUCGCCCAUUAAAGUGGUACGCGAGCUGGGUUCAGAACGUCGUGAGACAGUUCGGUCCCUAUCCGUCGCAGGCGUAGGAAAUUUGAGAAGACCUGUCCUUAGUACGAGAGGACCGGGAUGGACGUACCUCUGGUGUACCAGUUGUCCUGCCAAGGGCAUGGCUGGGUAGCUAUGUACGGAAUGGAUAAGCGCUGAAAGCAUCUAAGCGCGAAGCCAACUUCAAGAUAAGAUUUCCCACCGCAAGGGUAAGACCCCAGAAAGACUAUCUGGUUGAUAGGUCGAAGGUGUAAGUGCAGCAAUGUAUUUAGCUUAUCGAUACUAAUAGGUCGAGGACUUGACCAA
rnacentral:rRNA from 1 species